UCAGUUCUAUUCUAUUUGGAUAUACAAUCACUAUCGUGCCUUUUAUUCUGAGCGCAUGAAACGUUCCGAGUACAGAGAUACAGUUUGAUCAAGAUAUGUUGAAAUGAAUCUCGAAUCAUCCUCAACAUCUCUUGUGAACGUGUGUCUUGAACGAAGGGGCAUGCUUGCGCAAUGAUGAAACACGAAGAAACUUUGUGGAGAGGGAAACUUUUUCAUAAUCAUCAUUAUCAUUUAAAAAGAAGGAAGAAAAAAUAUUAUCAAUUGGAUUGGAAAGAUCAAUUUUGCAAAUAUUCCAGUUUGUAAAUAUUGUAUACAAAUCUUGUGAUCACAAUAAAAAUUGUUGUUGUACGAUUGUAUCAUUUACUGCCAUGAAAAAAAAAAAAAAAAAGAACGUUUCGAAAACGAUAAAUCGAUAAAAAGAUCUAUAUAAUUAAUCUAUACUAGUUUACCGUUUCGUAAUGCAAUUUAUUGUAUCCUACAUGAUACAAAAUACGAUAUAAAGAGAAAGACUAGUACGAGGCGAGCAGCACACUUCAUCGGCAAUGAUCUUCUUCCGAAUUCUGAAUAAGUCAACUGCAGCAAAACGAAAUUCUCAGACCAGUAAAAAAAGAAAAAAAAUUAUUAUUCGUAAUUAACGAAAAGAUAUGUUGUAAUAAUAUUAAAUAUCGAGCGAAAUUUACGAAUGGACGAAACAAAUUUACAAACGAAUAAUAAAUUUCACGGUAUCGAUAUUGCGACCGAUUUUUUUAUACAAAUGGAUAUUUAUCGAUUUGGAAAGUUAGCGGAUCGUACUAGGACGAAAGAAACUUUCAAUUACGUUUCACACAACUUUUCUGGUACCUGUGUCAGCGACACAAGCGACGGAGGUAUCUCGUUUACGUGUAUCCUGUUAGUCUUCCAUUUCCUUCGAAACGGUUUGCACAAUAUGUUGGAGAUCCAAUUGUACCACGAUACAGAUUCCUCCUCCUCUUCGAUCGAGAUGUAGAUCGGUUUCUGCGUCGAUCUCCUCUUAAUCGCUUCCUCCUCUUGCUUAUCCAUUAUUAUUAUUAUUAUUAUUAUUAUUAUUAUUAUUACGAAGAUAAUUAAAAUUAAUUAGCACAA